CUUCGUUGUCCGCCAAAACACAAGAAGACGAUGACGGAGUUCAGGUUAAAUGGAGACAGGAGUAGCUAAAUCAUCUUAAAUCCCCAAUGAAACAACUCUAAAUUUGACACAGUGCCCUCUCAAGCAGCCACUACAGCAAGCUGUGUCACAAACAAAGCUGGCAAUUCAGCCUCCACCGGAAAAGUUCUCCUGCUACAGCAUUUGAUUUGAAUGGCUAAUGUAAGAAUAUCAGCAGAGGAAGCUCAAAAGGACCAGGCUGAGCAAGUCCUGAGGAUCUGUCUUCCACACAAGUGAAGAAGAUGAAGUUGCAUCCGAAACUGAUGUGUCGAUUGUUAUUGAAGGGCAUGAGGUACUUGACAACUGUGGAAGUGUUGCAAAAGACUGUCUCCUGCUCGUAGGCAUCAUUUAUGCCACGAACUUGAAAAACGAAGUACGCUUUUGAAAAUUUUAAAAGCUAAACAAAGCUUAUAACUUGAAUGCACGUUUGACCCAUGAGUUGUCAUUUCAAAGAGGGCGCUAAAAGAAAAAUAUGGCACAGUUGUUUAUGUGGCUAUUUGUCUAUUUCCUUUUUCUCUCGUUUUAAUGAUGUAGUUUUUAUUUUAACUUGUUGCACUGUAUUAAACAUGUGGCCAUAUAGAGUGGCUAAGUUGUGGGGACAAAAGAAAAGAAGUUAGGUCAGCAUUUUGAAGUCAAACCAGAGGUUCUCAACUGGUGGGUCGUGGGGCCAUUUUCAAUGGGUCACAGAUGUGAGUGUGGUCAUGAAAAGUGCAAGGGGUGAAAUAUCCCACUUUUUAUUGUUAAGAUGCUCUGCUUUUUGUAGGAUAUUACUCAUGAUACAUGUUUAGAACCUCAGGGCAAAACACUGUUCUUUAAGAUGCAAUGUUUAAAGAUGAAACCAAUAAUAAGCAUGUCUUUUAAGAUGCACUGAAGGUUCCUGAAGCAUGUCAAUUUUUUUUUAGAGAGUGUAUGGUUAAAAAGCCUAUCCAAAAGAUAGGUUACGUACUGUAUGCUCUAUGCCAACAGUUCCUAAACUUUUCCUUGUGCCUUUAAUAAGCUAACUCAAACCUAUUUUAGCCACCCUAAGAUGAAAUUUCGGUCAUCUACUCACCCUGAUGCCAAUAGGACUGAACUUUGGUCAACAUUCAUGCUCUUCUCUCAUGUUUGUUUCUCACAAAACUGCAGUGAACAUCAACUUGGCUUCAAACAUCCAAAAAAUGUCAUUAAUCAAAAAAAUGUCUUCAUACUGCUCAUCUGAAGUAACCCAAGUGUCCAGCAGCUUACACAUUCCUAGAUGUUUACAAAAAAAAACCAUAACAAAAUUGUGUUUUGGCUGCGUUUGCUAUGCUUUGCUUCCUCUGUGGUGCUACGUGAACAUGGAUGAG